rnacentral:rRNA from 1 species
UCAGGUAGAGAAUACCAAGGCGCUUGAGAGAACUCGGGUGAAGGAACUAGGCAAAAUGGUGCCGUAACUUCGGGAGAAGGCACGCUGAUGUGUAGGUGAAGCCCCUGCGGGUGGAGCUGAAAUCAGUCGAAGAUACCAGCUGGCUGCAACUGUUUAUUAAAAACACAGCACUGUGCAAACACGAAAGUGGACGUAUACGGUGUGACGCCUGCCCGGUGCCGGA